rnacentral:rRNA from 1 species
UACGAAGGGUGCAAGCGUUACUCGGAAUUACUGGGCGUAAAGCGUGCGUAGGUGGUGAGUUAAGUCUGUCGUGAAAGCCCCGGGCUCAACCUGGGAAUGGCGAUGGAUACUGGCUCGCUAGAGUGCGGUAGAGGAGAGUGGAAUUCCCGGUGUAGCAGUGAAAUGCGUAGAGAUCGGGAGGAACAUCAGUGACGAAGGCGGCUCUCGUGGACCAGCACUGACACUGAGGCACGAAAAGCGUGGGGAGCAAACAGG